CAGCAGCCGCGGUAAUACGAGGGGGGCAAGCGUUGUUCGGAAUUAUUGGGCGUAAAGGGUGCGUAGGCGGUUUGGCAAGUUUGGUGUGAAAUCUUCGGGCUCAACUCGAAGUCUGCAUCGAAAACUGCCGGGCUUGAGUAUGGGAGAGGUGAGUGGAAUUUCCGGUGUAGCGGUGAAAUGCGUAGAUAUCGGAAGGAACACCUGUGGCGAAAGCGGCUCACUGGACCAUAACUGACGCUGAUGCACGAAAGCUAGGGGAGCAAACAGGAUUAGAUACCCCCGUAGUCCCUGUCCUUAUACA
rnacentral:rRNA from 1 species